rnacentral:rRNA from 1 species
AUUGAACGCUGGCGGCAAGCCUAACACAUGCAAGUCGAACGAGUGGCGGACGGGUGAGUUAUGUCUGGGAAACUGCCUGGUGGAGGGGGAUAACUACUGGAAACGGUUGCUAAUUCCGCAUACCAUAGGAUGUGCCCCAAUGGGAUGAGGUAGUAGGAGGGGUAAAGGCUCACCUAGGCGACGAUCCCUAGCUGGUCUGAGAGGAUUACCAGCCACACUGGAACUGAGACACGGUCCAGACUCCUACGUGAGGCAGCAGGGGGGAAUAUUGCACAAUGGGCGCAAGCCUGAUGCAGCCAUGCCGCGUGUAUGAAGAAGGCCUUCGGGUUGUAAAGUACUUUCAGUGGGGAGGCGUUACCCGCAGAAGAAGCACCGGCUAACUCCGUGCCAGCAGCCGCGGUAAUAC